UACGGAGGAGGCAAGCGUUAUCCGGAAUUAUUGGGCGUAAAGCGUCCGCAGGUGGCACCUCAAGUCUGCUGUCAAAGACCGGGGCUUAACCCCAGAAAGGCAGUGGAAACUGAAGUGCUAGAGUGCAGUAGGGGUAGAGGGAAUUCCCGGUGUAGCGGUGAAAUGCGUAGAGAUCGGGAAGAACAUCGGUGGCGAAAGCGCUCUGCUGGACUGCAACUGACACCGU
rnacentral:rRNA from 1 species